rnacentral:rRNA from 1 species
CCAAGGAGUCUAACAUGUGCGCGAGUCAUGGGGUUGUAAACCCAAAGGCGUAAUGAAAGUAAAGGUCAAUUCGGUUGACCGAGGUGAGAUCCCUGUAAGGGGCGCAUCACUGUCCCAUCGCAUCUACUUGUUAGAGCGGUGGAGAAAAAGCGUACACGUUGGGACCCGAAAGAUGGUGAACUAUGCCUGAGCAGGAUGAAGUCAUCGGAAACGGUGAUGGAGGUCCGUAGCGGUUCUGACGUGCAAAUCGAUCGUCAGACUUGGGUAUAGGGGCGAAAGACUAAUCGAACCAUCUAGUAGCUGGUUCCCUCCGAAGUUUCCCUCAGGAUAGCUGGCACUUAAACGCACUUUUACCCGGUAAAGCGAAUGAUUAGAGGCCUUGGGGACGAAACGACCUCAACCUAUUCUCAAACUUUAAAUGGGUAAGAAGUCUCGCUUGCCUGACCGAAGCUCAGACAUUGAAUGCGAGUGCCAAGUGGGCCAUUUUU